AAACUAACAAGGAUUCCCCUAGUAACGGCGAGUGAAGCGGGAUGAGCUCAAGCUUAAAAUCUCUGUGCCAGUUUGGCAUGGCGAAUUGUAGUCUAUGGAGGCGCUGUCAGUGCGAUUGCGUGGGUUAAGUUCCUUGGAAGAGGACAGCAUCGAGGGUGAUACUCCCGUGUAUGCCCGUGCAAUUGUGCGUACGACACGUUUUCUUUGAGUCGCGUUGUUUGGGAAUGCAGCGCAAAGUAGGUGGUAAAUUCCAUCUAAAGCUAAAUAUUGGUGCGAGACCGAUAGCGAACAAGUACCGUGAGGGAAAGAUGAAAAGAACUUUGAAAAGAGAGUUAAAGAGUACCUGAAACUGCUGAAAGGGAAUCGAAUCGUUUCCAGUGUCUAUAAUCUGUGGCAUAUUUCAUUGGCGAGUGUGUGCGUGCAUUGUUUUGGAAGCAGUUUUCUGUUCCUGGCUGUGUUGUGCAUAUGCUUGCUGGUGCCCUGUGUCAUGGUGGGACGUCAGAGUCAAUUCGUAAGUUGCGGGAAAUGGCUAUUGGGGAGGUAGGUCGCUUCGGUGGCUGUUAUAUCCUGAUAGCUAGUAGUCGUGGCUGGGAUUGAGGUGCCUACAACGUGCUUUCGAGUGUCUGGGUGUCUCGUUUGGUAAGUUAUCUUGACAGCUUGCUGUGUUGGUGAUAUUAUCGAGCGAUUGAUGUCUGGUCCAACUUGUUGCCGUUCGGGACUUUGACGAAAUGGAGCGAUCCGUC
rnacentral:rRNA from 1 species